rnacentral:tRNA from 1 species
GGCUUCUGUAGCUCAGUUGGUUACAGUGCUGCACCGGAAUGGCAGGGCCGCAGGUUUGAUUCCUGCCAAUGUCC